GCGGGAAAUUUCGGUAAAAACCAGGUCUCAUAAGCCAGGUAAAGGUGGUUCGACUCCACCUCCCGCCA
rnacentral:tRNA from 1 species